UUUGGCGCCAAAAAAUUUUUCACGCUCAUCCAAUUAUACCUCAAUUGGACAGUUGCUACGCUGUGAAUAAUUCGUUCUACAGUUUAUGGCAGAGUCUGGGAUUUUCUCAAUUUUAGCAAAAAAAAACUAGAAUUUGAGUUCUGCGACACAGGCGUGCAUGAACUUGUCAUCAAAUUUUUAUUUGUUUGCGAUGCGAGUAGAAAAUUUUGUUUUGAUUUAAAACAAUUUGGAAUUUAUUUGCAUUUAACGGCAGUUCGUUCAAAAAAGCUGUCGGCCGGGCCGGAAUCUUCCCCGUUCAGAAACCAUAAAAUAGCGUUGCGUAAAAUGCCACAAUAUCGACGCAAAUGUCCAUUGCCAAGGGCAAUAGGGGACAACCGAGUUGGAUUCUUCAGCCAGCAGGUAAUCCAAGCAGCAGGAAGACUUACCAAAAGGAUAAAGCUCCUGGUGAUAUCAUGCACAGUAAGUUCUUUCGACUGGUAGUAACAUGGAAAGACAUAACUACCGAAAAGCUACUCCAGUUCUAUGCGGAAUCUGAACUAUCCCAUCAUAAGGUUGCUACGACAACAUAAAACGUCUAUCUGAUUCGAUGAUGUAUAUCUCAGCCACUACCACACGGAAGAUAGUCCGGAUGAAACCAAGUUUGAUUGCCCUUUGCUGUAACCGACCUCAAAAAAAUUCUCCUGAUGCAAUCAACUGCCACGGCUUCUUCUCGAAACAUCUGAUUACUUAAAAUAUGUACUAUAUUCCGGAUGUAUAGAUUCGAGUGUGACCCUCUGCCUGCUAAUCUCGUUGAACAUUGAACAACAAAAGUACUGGUUGGAUCUCAGCUAUCACAUUCAGACAUCGGAUGGCGAUUCCAGGACAUGGAAGUUCUAGGACGUAUUCAUGUUGCUUUCAACAACGUCCUUCAUCCGGAAGAUCGAUACAGUUGAAGCAACUGAAUCAGCGCCAAGAAUUCAAUUGUUUUGUUCGACCGGGGUGAAAAAUAUUCUUCAGAUUUUGAUCGCCAGAUGGCUCGAAAAAUAAUCAUCCCCAAAUCCAUGGACAUACGGAAAACAAGUAGCUAACAUUGUGGAGUUGCACCAUACAAACAGACGUUCGGAAAUUUGCGUGAUUUCUGAGGCAUGGUUCCUGAACAAAGUUGACACCUCUUUCAGUUGACACCCAAACCUACCCUCGAGUACUAAGUUAAGUGGAAUCAGUAGCAUCGGCGUCAAGCACAAAAAGGCUGUCCUAUCGUGGGGCGAAAGACAGGUGUAUUUAUUGAGGAAUAAAUCGAUCCAUCUCGGCAAUUUAAUGUAAUGGUUGGUAGCAAGGAACCCCCCGAAGAAAAAAGUCAUCUCUACACGUUCGAAAAUAAAAAAGAAAAUCUAAACAAACAGGAACAAAUUCUCAAUUACUUUUUAUUAGAAAAAGAGAAUCCAUAUUUAAAAUAAUGAAAUCUUUAAUUUUACUCAAAUUCCAGCUAUCUUGAAGAAAAACAAAAAUACUAAAAUUUUAGCAAACAAUGUUUCUAUUUACUGAAAAAUUGGUAAAAAUUUAGUUCGGACACUUUUUUCUAUUUUGCUAAAAUUUGAGUAAUAAAAAAUUGCUAAAUUGAUUGCUAAGUACUUAGCUGGUCAAAUUUGAGCAAAAUUUUGCUAAAA